AAUUAACUUCAGUGUGAGGGUUACAAGUGGUAUUUGCAACGAUAAUCUGAAGAGACAAGGAAAGGAGCCACCUUCGCCGCCGGAAUUGAUAAGGUCUGCCAAAGACGAAGAUCUGGAGUUGUGGCUGUUGAAAUGGCAACACUUGUUGAAGACGACAAAACGUGUCACGCAUGAUCUUGUUGAUGAUACUAACUAGGGCUCUGCUCCUGCAUCAUCAAGAAUCCGGAGGCGUUCGCGUCUGCGUUCAUAACAGCCGCGAUGAGGUCAUAUGAGGAUCCAGACGACACAAGUCACGUUGUCGAUGUUCUUUG